AGCACCGCGCGUGACCAAGCGCAUGACAUGCGAACAGUGCGCACCUUUCAUCCACGUGGAGCAUUGGGCUCAUCUGUGUGUGCGUCACACUAUGUGUAGAUAGGGUCAAGCGUCGUGUAUUGUACGGACCUUGUCCGUGCAAUAGGCUUACUCGGAUAGACCUACGCACCUGUGCACAAUGGCUUAUGCCUUAUAGGCCUACACGAAGCACCCCGCGUGCUGUAGGCCUGCCCGUGGUAGAGUACGCCAACAUUGGUAGGCUAAGCUUGCAGAGCGCAGCCGGGCGAGGUGAGCCGCACUAUCGCCUCGAGUAGUGCACCCUCAUCCCCUUGGGUAGUGUGCUGUCACCUUGGAUGGAGAUCCACCGCUGGUGGAGGAAUUUUUCCUUAAU
rnacentral:lncRNA from 1 species